AUUGAACGCUGGCGGCAGGCCUAACACAUGCAAGUCGAGCGGAUGAAGGGAGCUUGCUCCUGGAUUCAGCGGCGGACGGGUGAGUAAUGCCUAGGAAUCUGCCUGGUAGUGGGGGAUAACGUCCGGAAACGGGCGCUAAUACCGCAUACGUCCUGAGGGAGAAAGUGGGGGAUCUUCGGACCUCACGCUAUCAGAUGAGCCUAGGUCGGAUUAGCUAGUUGGUGGGGUAAAGGCCUACCAAGGCGACGAUCCGUAACUGGUCUGAGAGGAUGAUCAGUCAAACUGGAACUGAGAAACGGUCCAGACUCCUAAGGGAGGCAGCAGUGGGGAAUAUUGGACAAUGGGCGAAAGCCUGAUCCAGCCCUGCCGCGUGUGUGAAGAAGGUCUUCGGAUUGUAAAGCACUUUAAGUUGGGAGGAAGGGCAGUAAGUUAAUACCUUGCUGUUUUGACGUUACCAACAGAAUAAGCACCGGCUAACUUCGUG
rnacentral:rRNA from 1 species